AAUUUGUUAUUAUCAAUAAUUCGACGGUUCUAUCCAAAUAACGGCCAUUGUCAUCUCGUUUAACUCUGUUGAAUUCAAACCCUCCAAGUGGUGGCAGUACUCUGUAAGAUAAAGCUCUUCCAUUGGUGGCCCGCGUCAUGGCCGUCCAAUGACUGUUCCUGUUAAAACUGCCAUUAGCAUCAUGAAUAUCGCACACAGAAUCUUCACUAUUUUCAUUCUGCAAGGGACUAAAAUUAUUUGUUCACCUAAAGUAUAAGAUAAUAUAUAACUUAAUGUUUGUGCGCACUAAUUUCCGAAUAAACUUCAUCAUAUACGCUCAAAACAUGAAACAAAGUUUUCAAAGUAAAAUGUGGUAGAUUAAGUUUAGCAAAAAAAUGAUAUUGCUGAACUCAUUAUACAUACAUGAUAUAGAUAAACUCAUUAUUGAUACCAGGAGAAACAUGUUGUAUAUCUUAUAUCUCUCUCGGUUUAAUUAAAUUAUCCCGUCAGUGAUACUGCAAUAGUUUAACUUUAUAAAGGAAGUCAUAGUGAUGUCUAUUAAUUUAAUCAGUUUACCCCCCUUCCAUCCCCACCAAGAUUCUUUAUUUCUCAAACACCAUAAAG
rnacentral:lncRNA from 1 species